AACGAACGCUGGCGGCAGGCUUAACACAUGCAAGUCGAGCGCCCCGCAAGGGGAGCGGCAGACGGGUGAGUAACGCGUGGGAAUCUACCCAUCUUUACGGAAUAACGCAUGGAAACGUGUGCUAAUACCGUAUAAGUCCUUCGGGAGAAAGAUUUAUCGGAGAUGGAUGAGCCCGCGUUGGAUUAGCUAGUUGGUGGGGUAAAGGCCUACCAAGGCGACGAUCCAUAGCUGGUCUGAGAGGAUGAUCAGCCACACUGGGACUGAGACACGGCCCAGACUCCUACGGGAGGCAGCAGUGGGGAAUAUUGGACAAUGGGCGCAAGCCUGAUCCAGCCAUGCCGCGUGAGUGAUGAAGGCCCUAGGGUUGUAAAGCUCUUUCACCGGUGAAGAUAAUGACGGUAACCGGAGAAGAAGCCCCGGCUAACUUCGUGCCAGCAGCCGCGGUAAGAC
rnacentral:rRNA from 1 species